GCCGCACCUAGUCCGUGCUUAAUUACCACGGGCGAAAGCACAGAAACCCUUGCUGUGUUGGUGCGGCUUCUAUUCAGGGC
rnacentral:ncRNA from 18 species